rnacentral:rRNA from 1 species
AACGAACGCUGGCGGCGCGCCUAAUACAUGCAAGUCGAGCGAGAAGACGUAGCAAUACGUUUGUAAAGCGGCGAACGGGUGAGGAAUACAUGGGUAACCUACCCUCGAGUGGGGAAUAACUAGCCGAAAGGUUAGCUAAUACCGCGUACGCUCCUUGGACUUCGGUCCAGGGAGGAAAGCGAUACCGUGGGUAUCGCGCUCUUGGAUGGGCUCAUGUCCUAUCAGCUUGUUGGUGAGGUAACGGCUCACCAAGGCUUCGACGGGUAGCUGGUCUGAGAGGACGAUCAGCCACACUGGCACUGCGACACGGGCCAGACUCCUACGGGAGGCAGCAGUAAGGAAUAUUGCGCAAUGGGCGAAAGCCUGACGCAGCGACGCCGCGUGGGGGAUGAAGGUCUUCGGAUUGUAAACCCCUUUCGGGAGGGAAGAUGGGAACGAGCAAUCGUUCGGACGGUACCUCCAGAAGCAGCCACGGCUAACUUCGUGCCAGCAGCCGCAGUAAU